GACGAACGCUGGCGGCGUGCUUAACACAUGCAAGUCGAACGAUGAAGAAAAGAAUCGAAGCUUCGGCAGAAAUUCAUUUCGGAUUAGUGGCAGACGGGUGAGUAACGCGUGAGCAACCUACCUCUUACAAAGGGAUAGCCUCGGGAGACCGGGAUUAAUACCAUAUAACAUUGCGACGAAGCAUUUCGAUGCAAUCAAAGCUACGGCGGUAAGAGAUGGGCUCGCGUCCCAUUAACCGGAUGGUGAGGUAACGGCUCACCAUAGUGACGAUGGGUAACCGGCCUGAGAGGGUGAACGGUCACACUGGAACUGAGACACGGUCCAGACUCCUACGGGAGGCAGCAGUGGGGAAUAUUGCACAAUGGAGGGAACUCUGAUGCAGCGACGCCGCGUGAGUGAUGAAGGAAUUCGUUUCGUAAAACUCUGUUCUAUGGGAAGAAAAGGACUGUACCAUAGGAGAAAGCGCCGGCUAAAUACGUG
rnacentral:rRNA from 1 species